rnacentral:rRNA from 1 species
GACGAACGCUGGCGGCGUGCUCAACACAUGCAAGUCGAACGGAAAGGCCCUGCUUUUGUGGGGUGCUCGAGUGGCGAACGGGUGAGUAACACGUGAGUAACCUGCCCUUGACUUUGGGAUAACUUCAGGAAACUGGGGCUAAUACCGGAUAGGAGCUCCUGCUGCAUGGUGGGGGUUGGAAAGUUUCGGCGGUUGGGGAUGGACUCGCGGCUUAUCAGCUUGUUGGUGGGGUAGUGGCUUACCAAGGCUUUGACGGGUAGCCGGCCUGAGAGGGUGACCGGCCACAUUGGGACUGAGAUACGGCCCAGACUCCUACGGGAGGCAGCAGUGGGGAAUAUUGCACAAUGGGCGGAAGCCUGAUGCAGCAACGCCGCGUGCGGGAUGACGGCCUUCGGGUUGUAAACCGCUUUCGCCUGUGACGAAGCGUGAGUGACGGUAAUGGGUAAAGAAGCACCGGCUAACUACGUA